CCUACGUGAGGCAGCAGUAGGGAAUCUUCCACAAUGGGCGAAAGCCUGAUGGAGCAACGCCGCGUGGGUGAAGAAGGUCUUCGGAUCGUAAAACCCUGUUGUUAGAGAAGAAAGUGCGUGAGAGUAACUGUUCACGUUUCGACGGUAUCUAACCAGAAAGCCACGGCUAACUACGUGCCAGCAGCCGCGGUAAUACGUAGGUGGCAAGCGUUAUCCGGAUUUAUUGGGCGUAAAGGGAACGCAGGCGGUCUUUUAAGUCUGAUGUGAAAGCCUUCGGCUUAACCGGAGUAGUGCAUUGGAAACUGGGAGACUUGAGUGCAGAAGAGGAGAGUGGAACUCCAUGUGUAGCGGUGAAAUGCGUAGAUAUAUGGAAGAACACCAGUGGCGAAAGCGGCUCUCUGGUCUGUAACUGACGCUGAGGUUCGAAAGCGCGGGUAUCGAACAGGAUUAGAUACCCUAGUAGUC
rnacentral:rRNA from 1 species